UGAGGAAUAUUGGGCAAUGCCCGCAAGGGUGACCCAGCAACGCCGCGUGGAGGAUGAAUGUCGUAAGAUUGUAAACUCCUGUUAGAGGGGAAGAAUAGUACCGGUUGGACCGGUAUAUGACUGUACCCUCAGAGAAAGCCCCGGCUAACUACGUGCCAGCAGCCGCGGUAAUACGUAGGGGGCAAGCGUUGUCCGGAUUUACUGGGUGUAAAGGGCGCGCAGGCGGGAUAAAAAGUCAGUGGUGAAAUCCUACAGCUUAACUGUAGAACUGCCUUUGAUACUUUUAUUCUUGAGUUCGGGAGAGAGAGACGGAAUUCCAGGUGUAUUGGUGAAAUACGUAGAUAUCUGGAAGAACACCAGUUGCGAAGGCGGUCUCUUGGUCCGACACUGACGCUGAGGCGCGAAAGCGUGGGGAGCAAACA
rnacentral:rRNA from 1 species